rnacentral:rRNA from 1 species
AGUGGCGCACGGGUGAGUAACACGUGAAUUACAUGCCCUUCAGUGGGGGAUAGCCCAGGGAAACUUGGAUUAAUACCCCAUGGCAUCGCGAGAUUAAAGGUGGCCGCAAGGCUGUCGCUGAAGGAUUGGUUCGCGCCCUAUCAGCUAGUUGGCGGGGUAACGGCCCACCAAGGCUACGACGGGUACCUGGUCUGAGAGGACGAUCAGGCACACUGGAACUGAGACACGGUCCAGACACCUACGGGUGGCAGCAGUCGAGAAUAAUUCACAAUGGGGGCAACCCUGAUGGUGCAACGCCGCGUGGAGGAUGAAGGUCUUCGGAUUGUAAACUCCUGUCAUCCGGGAGCAAGACCUGACGGUUAACAGCCGGCAGGGUUGAUAGUACCGGAAGAGGAAGGGACGGCUAACUUCGUGCCAGCAGCCGCGGUAAUACGAAGGUCCCGAGCGUUGUUCGGAAUCACUGGGCGUAAAGGGAGCGUAGGCGG